CACCGGUGGCGAANGCGGGUUUCUGGCCGAUAAUUGACGCUGAGAUGCGAAAGUGUGGGGAUCGAACAGGAUUAGAUACCCUGGUAGUCCACACUGUAAACGAUGUACACUAGGUGUUGGGGUACGAACCUCAGUGCCGAAGCAACGUGAUAAGUGUACCGCCUGGGGAGUAUGCCGCCAGGG
rnacentral:rRNA from 1 species